rnacentral:rRNA from 1 species
CGCUGGCGGCGUGCCUAAUACAUGCAAGUCGAACGGUCUUUCUAUGGAAGCUUGCUUCCACUGAGAAGAUAGUGGCGAACGGGUGAGUAACACGUGGGUAACCUGCCCAUAAGAGGGGGAUAACAUCCGGAAACGGGUGCUAAUACCGCAUAGUUUUCUUGAUCGCAUGAUUGAGAAAGGAAAGACGGCCUUUGUGCUGUCGCUUAUGGAUGGACCCGCGGCGUAUUAGUUAGUUGGUGAGGUAACGGCUCACCAAGACGAUGAUACGUAGCCGACCUGAGAGGGUGAUCGGCCACAUUGGGACUGAGACACGGCCCAAACUCCUACGGGAGGCAGCAGUAGGGAAUCUUCCGCAAUGGACGAAAGUCUGACGGAGCAACGCCGCGUGAGUGAAGAAAGGUUUUCGGAUCGUAAAACUCUGUUGUCAGAGAAGAACAAGUUGGAGAGUAACUGCUCCAGCCUUGACGGUAUCUGACCAGAAAGCCACGGCUAACUACGUGCCAGCCGCCGC